rnacentral:rRNA from 1 species
GCUCAGUAACACGUGGACAACCUGCCCUUAGGUUGGGGAUAAACCCGGGAAACUGGGUAUAAUACCCGAUAGGUCUCGAUUGCUGGAAUGCAUCGAGAUUUAAAGCUCCGGCGCCUAAGGAUGGGUCUGCGGCCUAUCAGGUAGUAGUGGGUGUAGCGUACCUACUAGCCUACGACGGGUACGGGUUGUGAGAGCAAGAGCCCGGAGAUGGAUUCUGAGACACGAAUCCAGGCCCUACGGGGUGCAGCAGGCGCGAAAACUUUACAAUGCUGGCAACAGCGAUAAGGGAACCUCGAGUGCCAGGUUACAAAUCUGGCUGUCGAGAUGCCUAAAAAGCAUUUCAUAGCAAGGGCCGGGCAAGACCGGUGCCAGCAGCCGCGGUAA